ACCGCAGACCGCCUUAUCGCCGUUUAAUUUUAAAGGGAGGAAAGUCCGGGCACCAAAGAGUAGCAUAGCGGGUAAUGCCCGUCACCAAAAGCAAUUUUGGGAGGACAAGUGCAACAGAAAGUAUGUACAGAUAAUGCUGUAGUGAAACCAGGUAAACUCUAUGCGGUGAAAUACCAAGUAUAUCGGCAUUUAAGGAUUACUCGUCCGUUGUCGAAGGGUAGGUAGAUUGAGUUCUGGAGUAAUUCAGAAUCUAGAUAAAUGAUAAGGGUUUGCUUUUGCAAAUACAGAACCCGGCUUAUAGGUCUGCAUUUUUU
rnacentral:RNase_P_RNA from 1 species